GAUGAACGCUAGCGGCAGGCCUAACACAUGCAAGUCGAGGGAGAAGCCUUUCGGGGCAGAACCCGGCGCACGGGUGCGUAACGCGUAUGCAACCUACCUUUCACAGGGGGAUAGCCCGAAGAAAUUUGGAUUAAUACCCCAUAAUAUUGUUGGAUGGCAUCAUCUGAUAAUUAAAACUGCGGUGGUGAAAGAUGGGCAUGCGUCCUAUUAGCUAGUUGGAGUGGUAACGGCACCCCAAGGCUACGAUAGGUAGGGGUCCUGAGAGGGAGAUCCCCCACACUGGUACUGAGACAGGGACCAGACUCCUACGGGAGGCAGCAGUGAGGAAUAUUGGUCAAUGGUCGGAAGACUGAACCAGCCAUGCCGCGUGCAGGAAGAAUGCCUUAUGGGUUGUAAACUGCUUUUAUAUGGGAAGAAUAAGGUGUACGUGUACAUUGAUGACGGUACCAUAUGAAUAAGCAUCGGCUAACUCCGUG
rnacentral:rRNA from 1 species